UUUUGUGGGGUGCUCGAGUGGCGAACGGGUGAGUAACACGUGAGUAACCUGCCCUUGACUUUGGGAUAACUUCAGGAAACUGGGGCUAAUACCGGAUAGGAGCUCCUGCUGCAUGGUGGGGGUUGGAAAGUUUCGGCGGUUGGGGAUGGACUCGCGGCUUACCAGCUUGUUGGUGGGGUAGUGGCUUACCAAGGCUUUGACGGGUAGCCGGCCUGAGAGGGUGACCGGCCACAUUGGGACUGAGAUACGGCCCAG
rnacentral:rRNA from 1 species